rnacentral:rRNA from 1 species
UACGGGGGGGGCAAGCGUUGUUCGGAAUUACUGGGCGUAAAGGGCUCGUAGGUGGCCAACUAAGUCAGACGUGAAAUCCCUCGGCUUAACCGGGGAACUGCAUCUGAUACUGGAUGGCUUGAGUUUGGGAGAGGGAUGCGGAAUUCCAGGUGUAGCGGUGAAAUGCGUAGAUAUCUGGAGGAACACCGGUGGCGAAGGCGGCAUCCUGGACCGGUAUUGACACUGAGGCGCGAAAGCCAGGGGAGCAAACGGG